rnacentral:rRNA from 1 species
UACGUAGGGUGCGAGCGUUAAUCGGAAUUACUGGGCGUAAAGCGUGCGCAGGCGGCGCGUUAAGACAGGUGUGAAAGCCCCGAGCUUAACUUGGGAAUUGCGCUUGUGACUGGCGUGCUGGAGUGUGGCAGAGGGAGGUGGAAUUCCACGUGUAGCAGUGAAAUGCGUAGAGAUGUGGAGGAACACCGAUGGCGAAGGCAGCCUCCUGGGCCGAGCACUGACGCUGAGGCACGAAGGCCAGGGGAGCAAACGGG